AUCCCAGGGCUCAACCCUGGCUCGCUUUGGAUACUGGUAAACUAGAGUUGGAUAGAGGUAAGCGGAAUUCCAUGUGAAGCGGUGAAAUGCGUAGAUAUAUGGAAGAACACCAAAGGCGAAGGCAGCUUACUGGGUCUAUACUGACGCUGAGGGACGAAAGCGUGGGGAGCAAACAGGAUUAGAUACCCUGGUAGUCCACGCCGUAAACGAUGAUCAUUAGUCGGUGGGAGCCACUGACGCAGCU
rnacentral:rRNA from 1 species